rnacentral:rRNA from 1 species
UUCGAAGAUACGCGAAGAACCUUACCUAGACUUGAAAUCCUUAGAAUCCUGCAGAGAUGCGGGAGUGCUAGUUUACUAGAACUAAGUGACAGGUGCUGCACGGCUGUCGUCAGCUCGUGUCGUGAGAUGUUGGGUUAAGUCCCGCAACGAGCGCAACCCUCGUGAUUAGUUGCUAACAGUUCGGCUGAGCACUCUAAUCAGACUGCCUUCGUAAGGAGGAGGAAGGUGAGGACGACGUCAAGUCAUCAUGGCCCUUAUGUCUAGGGCUACACACGUGCUACAAUGGUUGGGACARAGAGCAGCGAUACCGCGAGGUGGAGCAAAUCUUAAAACCCAAUCUCAGUUCGGAUUGGAGUCUGCAACUCGACUCCAUGAAGCUGGAAUCGCUAGUAAUCGUAGAUCAGCAAUGCUACGGUGAAUACGUUCCCGGGUCUUGUACUCACCGCCCGUCACACCAUGGGAGUUGAUUUCGCUCGAAGCCGGAAUACUAAAUUAGUUACCGUCCA